UAUUUAAAAGUAACUUAAAAAUAAGAAGAGUUGCAUUGGAAUAAUUAAAAUAAUAUUUGCCAAUUAAAGGCAAGCAGAUUCAGAGGAAUAAUUGAAAUGUCAGCAUAUUAUGGAGAAGGAAUAUGCGGUUACUGGGUUGAGACAUUAAAUAUCUUAAUUAAUAUGGCUAACAAGUCAAUACAAUAAUGAUUAUUUUAAAACCUGUAUACGAUACAAAACCUUACCAAUGUAAAGUAGUCCUAACUUACCAUGAUUACAUCAUUUUCAGGACUAAAAAAAUAUUCUCAAAAUACUUGACCAAGAGCAGAAUAUCAUAGAUACUCAGAACAACUACAGUAUUUGCUGGAACAAACGUAUAAUUGUUAAUAUAAUUAGAAAAUGAUGUUAACUAAAAACUGCCUAAUUACUCACAGAAAUUAAACCCAGCACUUUGAGGACAUAGCCAAAAGGCUAGGGAAAGGUGGUUCAUUUGGCAGAGCUGCAGGACAGGUCGUAUGCCAGAAUUGCCCUGCGACUGGCCCGUUUCACAGAGGAACACAGCCAAGCACACCAGGUAUGAUACGUUCCCUGAACCUUGCAGAGUCCCCUCACCCAGCCUGUCACUCAUGCCCACUGAGGUGUAAUAUGUAAUGGUUUCUGUUGUUCGAAGUUUUCAGGUACAUAAAUAGCUGCCUUUCUCAGCACAAGUAAACAGCUGCUGUUACCUGCUCUCUUCUAAUUAAAUGCUUCCCACUUCAUUUCUACUCUUCCAGUUGAGAUAGAAGAGUGGAAAUCAAAGAGAAGCAAAGAGGAAGGUAGUAAAUAAAAAGGGGAGGAGGUAUACAGUGAUGGAAAAUGCAGAAAUCAAAGGCACAAAACAAACAUAUAUCCCAAUUUAUAGCUAGGCGAUAGGAAACCUGCCACCAUUAAAGUCAGUGGUAUUUUCUGAAGUAUAUUUUAAAUUGUUAGAGUGGGAAGACACCUUCUGCCCUUCCUUAGUAUGUUAUUUCAGCAAGAUCUGUAUGCCUUCAAAGUAUUAUUAUUUAAUAAGAUACAGCACAGUGUUUUCAUACUCUAGUCACUACCUAUAAAGCUUGAUACUAACUAGAAGUCAAAUACAUCAAACAUGAAUAUCAGCGUCUUAGUUUCAACUGGGAUGGAACUGUUUUCUUCAGAAUGUCUGGCAUGAUGCUGUGUUUUGGUUCUAGGAGAAAAACAAUGUUGAUAACACAAUGAUGUUUAUAGUUGCCUACUGAGCCAAGGCUAGUCACAGUGAAGGACCUGAGGAGCUGGGAGAGAAUGGAAUUGGGACAGCUAACUUAAGCAAGCCAGAGGGAUAUUCUGUACCAUAUGAUAUCAAGUGGAAAGAGUUUUGAAGGGGUUGGGAGUUUGUGAUCUCUCUCUUUGCUGCUCGGGGGGCUAGUUUGGCAUCAUUUGGGGAGUGGUGAGCAAUUACUUGUGCAUCACGUGUUAAAUAUGUUGUGGUGGAAGCCCCAUUCCUGGAGACAUUCAAGGUCAGAAUGGGAAGGGCUCUGAGCAACCAGGUGUAGCUGUGGGUGUCACUGUUCUUUGCAGGGGACUGGAUGACCUUUAAGCGUCAAACAAUUCUAUAAAUCUGUGAUAAUGCAAUGAGCAUGGAAUGUGUGUUCUUCAGCUUUUCUCUGUGAUUGACCAGUGCCAGAGAAAAGAGUAGAAAGUGUUCAAACUGGGCUGCAGGUUGGAUCAAAGAGUACAAAUGUGUUGGCUCAUCUUACUCUAGUUUAGAUGUCAUCUAGAAGUCAUUCAGAUAGAUAACACAACCUUCAGAUACAAGAAAAUACGGUGACAAUUAAUUCAUCUACUUCAUUACCUUUUUGAUAUGUUAUAUGUCAGAGCAAAGUCCACCAGAGUGAAAUAAUGAAGAAGCAGUUUUGCUGCGCUUCUACAUUUGAGAUAGUGUGUUGGAGCUGAUUUAUUCACCUGAACUUGAGUAGCAGGCAAAGUACAACUGUAGAGUAUGAGCUCAUACAUUCGUGUGCACUUGUUUCUUUGUCAAGCUUCACUGUAAGAGCUAUGGAUGGAAAUUCAUCCAAAAUCAAGUCCAGAAUUGCUGAAGUGAAUUCUCCAGUGUAUGGGAAUAUUCAUGGUACUAGAAAGGCAUGGGAUUGAGUGUUGUUUGAAAUCCAGAGAGUUGGAAGAGCUAGUGCUCCUGAUUGUGCCAGUUUGUCCAUCAGUGCCUCUGCUUCAAUAUUAUUCACAUACAUGGGGAAUAAGCAAACUUCAGUUCUGAUGGAUGUAAGACGUCCUUUUAAGGUAUGUCAUUACAUUAUUUUCUGUUACGUUUUGUUACAGAUAAUUAGGUUGUUUUAGGUACAGUGUAAGUGAUACAACACAGGGCUCCAUGUCAGAACAACCACCGGCUGGAAGUACUGUGAAGCAUCAGGAAAGGGAGAUGCACUUGAAAGAUGGAAGAAGCCAUUUUUGACAGAGGCUCUCACUGAAACCAGGUGUUUCAAUACCUUUCUCCUAAAAGAGAGAGGACUGUACUAAAGGUCAUAAACGUUUCCAUUUUCAGUUGCAGUCUGUAUUAUAGCUGUGGAUUGUUGCAGGAGGGCUGAUUCUGAAGAAAGAUGCUGUUGAAGAGUUCAGCGGGAUUUGUUCUGAUCUUCCUCUCCCAUUGCACUGUGCUGGUGACCACCAAAGAGGCAGUGAUCUUGGCUAAUGCCCACCUUCUGUCUCAAAGAGAUUAUGAUAGACUGGCUAACAUCAAUGAUAAAGACUAUCUAAGGGAUUGUUUUGAGAUUUUUCAGCACUCCAGAGGAAAUUCCGGAGAUGGUCUUUACGUCAUCCAUCCAAAAGAAGACCCAAUUGUUGUCUCUUGUAACAUGCAGGAUGGUGGCUGGACAGUAAUCCAGCACAUUACAGCCAACAGUACUGUCGACUUUGAUAAAACGUGGCACGAUUACAAAUAUGGGUUUGGCUCUGUUCAUGACAACCACUGGUUAGGAAAUGAAUACAUGCAUCAAUUAACUGGCGGCUCUGUGCAAUAUGUACUUGGAGUUAAACUUGUAGACCUAAAUGCUGAAAUCAAAUGGGGACAGUACGAACCAUUCUGUAUUGAAGAUGAAGAAGCUCAAUACCGAAUCAAGGUUGGCCUAUACAGAGGCAAUGCUACUGAUGCUCUAACUCUGGACACAGAAGCUUACCUCCACGACAACCAGAAGUUCACCACCAAAGACAGAGACAAUGACAAUUACUUUCAGAAUUGUGCCAAACUAGAACACAAUGGUAUUCCUGGGGGAGGCUGGUGGUAUGAUGCAUGUGCUGGGGCAAAUCUAAACCGUAGGAACGUGAUAUACUGGCAAAAGGACUGCAGCAAGAAGCAUUUAUGCAAGUUUUCAUGGAUGAUGGUCAAACCUGUUGAACACAGCCCACUGUAUGCAACUAACUGUUGUCCGUGUCAGAAGGAGGAACUGUAGAUUUUCAGUUGCAGAAACUCAGGCAACAGAUAUUGGCGAAGUUCUGCUUUUUAAUUAAAAAAUGGGAUCCUGUCACUGCCAUGAAAAUUAAUUUAGAGACAAAUAAACUGUACUGUGUUUAGAGAAGACCAAGACUGGCAUGAUUACUUGAGAAAUUAAUUGGAAAAUGGAGAAGUCAUGAAAGAAAAUUCUAUUUUUUACAUUGCACUGUAACACUUUCAGAAAAAGAUACAGGUAAGUUGUGCAGGUGAGGCCAAUAUAGUGUAUAUGCAUAUUUUGCAGCAGGUAAUGUUUUGCCUUCAAAUUGUGAUUAAAAAAAAGAAGUAUAAUAGAGCAAGAAGUGAAUGAAUUUAUGAAUUGAAUUGAUGUAAUCAAGUCAAAUAAUGUGGAUUCUGCUGCAACUGCAUCAGGAGACCUCCAAAGGUUGUAAUGAAGAUACAAGAAAAUUGCUGUCUCCCAUAGCUUUUACCCAUCAAGUUCCCAUCUAGAUAGACAGAUUCUAACAUUACUACCAAAAAACAGCACAAAUAAUCUUGACAUGGAAACAUCCAGCUGAAAGCCAGCAGGCUGUAUCUGAUCCUCAAAGGCAAAUAACCUGCUCUGCAGCUCGCUCAUCCUGCUUGGAGGAUUUUGGAGGAAAGGACCUGUGGAAUACGCUCCAUGAACAGUUCAGGCAUCACCAGCCCAAAUCCAGCUGUCCACUCUCUAGUGGAGGCACUCUCUAGUGUAAACUGGAGUCCUACAGACCUCUGCUGACACUGAAUUCCAGUAUGGGAAUUAGAUUAGCAUAUAGUAAUAAAUGGUAUUGAUAGAUCUGCAGACAAAAACAUGACAAACAUUAACAGUUCAAGCACUGACUUUAAUGGAAGUCAUGGAGUGUGGUAUGUUCCAUGCUUCUAAAUGAAGAAAGAAUGGAAACUACUCUAAGAGCUGGAUUGAGGAUGAAAAUAAUUAGGAAUAUUCCAAUCCACUCAUCAACACUUCUUUCUUAGAGCUUUCAAAGAGAAGGACGUGUUGUUUUGGAGCUCAGGUUUGGAAGUACAUUUCAAAUGGAGAAGCCACUGAGUAUACAGAAAAUGGUAACUCCAGCUCGUCUGUUACGAACAUCGGAGGAAAGUCAUUUGGUUUCCUAAUACCCAGGUGACUCCUUCAUGUUACUCCUAUCUCUAUAGAAAGUAAAGAAAAUUAAUCCCAGAGGUAAAUUACAUAAUUCAGUUUUUUUUUUUUUUUUUUUUUUACUUUGUUUUCCUAAAGCAAAUAAUCCAGAGCGAGUAGAAGUGCCUAUGUCAGAGUAUAAUAUCACAGAGUAAUUUGAGGAAAGUGAUGGCCAAAUAUUCUUAUUCGAUAUGAAGAUUUUAGAAAUCCCAAACUGUGAAGGGCUGAUAGGAAACUGUUUCCUACUAAAGAUGGACUCCUGUAUGCAACUUGGAAAACAGGAUCAGUGGCAAGUUUGUCCUCUUCUUCUGAUGAUGCAUAGCUGCUGCAGGUGGUCAGUUGGUCAGCCUUAGCCCACUCAGUGCACGUGCUCACUGCCUGGGAUGCCUUCACUGUAGCUGAUGUACUUCGACUGGAUGAAGACCAGGAAGCCUGACAUCUCUCUCUUUUGACUAAGUUUUGUUGCUUGCAACUGAAGCAAGACUUCAGGAAAGCUUUUCGAGGCUUUAUCGUCUCAAAUUCGGCCACAGACUCAGAACCCUGAAGUUCAGCGAGGUCCUUGGUACGUUUCUCAGUCUCUUUGUAGAUGCGGCAAUAUAAAAUGGUCAUCACUGACACUGGAAUGUAAAAAGCAGCAAUUGCAGUACCAAAAGUGAUAAUGGGCUCGUAUAAAAAUUGUAUCUGGCAUUCCUCAGGGGGUACUGUUCGUUCACCCACAAAAUACUGCCAGCAUAAUAUUACAGGUGCCCAUAGAAUGAAGGAGAUUAGCCAAGCCAGGCUGAUCAUGAUGCCAGCUCUUUUGGGCGUGCGUUUAGCUCUGUAUGUCAAAGGCCUUGUGAUGGAAAAAUAUCUGUCAAAGCUGAUGACUAGGAGGUUCAUGACUGAAGCAUUGCUAGCUACGUAAUCCAGCGCUAGCCACAGGUCACACGCCAGGCUUCCAAGAGACCAAUGGCCUAUGAGUAUAUAAGAGGUAUAGAGGUUCAUAGAGAAUAUUCCAAUGAUGAGGUCUGCACAGGCAAGACUGAGCAAGUAAUAGUUGUUAACAGUUUUGAGCUGACUGUUAACCUUGAAGGAUAUCAUUACAAGAACAUUUCCCACUAUGGUUAUUAAGCUUACAAUUGCAGUUACAGUGGCAAUAGUAAUAACUUCCCAGAGGCUGUGCCCUUCUAACUGUUUAUGGUUGAUGGAUGAACUAUUUAUAACAGUAGAAUUGCUGAAUAGAUUUACUUCCAUUCUUUUUCUUGAUCAAUGGUUAUCAGAAUCUUAGCACUCUUGCAUAUUGUUUUCUGUAUAUCUUUUGGAGGCAGCUGUAAAAAUAAAAGGAAAAAAGAGAAAAAGAAAGCAGCUCAUUAAAUAGCACGGACUUCCAUUAGGUAUACCUUGAAACACUUGCAAAGCAAUCCAUCAAAUUAUUUGU